rnacentral:rRNA from 1 species
UACGUAGGGUGCAAGCGUUAAUCGGAAUUACUGGGCGUAAAGCGUGCGCAGGCGGUUAUGCAAGACAGAUGUGAAAUCCCCGGGCUCAACCUGGGAACUGCAUUUGUGACUGCAUGGCUGGAGUGCGGCAGAGGGGGAUGGAAUUCCGCGUGUAGCAGUGAAAUGCGUAGAUAUGCGGAGGAACACCGAUGGCGAAGGCAAUCCCCUGGACCUGUACUGACGCUCAUGCACGAAAGCGUGGGGAGCAAACAGG